rnacentral:rRNA from 1 species
UAGGGAAUCUUCCACAAUGGACGAAAGUCUGAUGGAGCAACGCCGCGUGAGUGAAGAAGGGUUUUCGGCUCGUAAAGCUCUGUUGGUAGUGAAGAAAGAUAGAGGUAGUAACUGGCCUUUAUUUGACGGUAAUUACUUAGAAAGUCACGGCUAACUACGUGCCAGCAGCCGCGGUAAUACGUAGGUGGCAAGCGUUGUCCGGAUUUAUUGGGCGUAAAGCGAGUGCAGGCGGUUCAAUAAGUCUGAUGUGAAAGCCUUCGGCUCAACCGGAGAAUUGCAUCAGAAACUGUUGAACUUGAGUGCAGAAGAGGAGAGUGGAACUCCAUGUGUAGCGGUGGAAUGCGUAGAUAUAUGGAAGA